rnacentral:rRNA from 1 species
AACGAACGCUGGCGGCAUGCCUAACACAUGCAAGUCGAACGAGACCUGCGGGUCUAGUGGCGCACGGGUGCGUAACGCGUGGGAAUCUGCCCUUCGGUUCGGAAUAACUCAGGGAAACUUGAGCUAAUACCGGAUGAUGUCUUCGGACCAAAGAUUUAUCGCCGAGGGAUGAGCCCGCGUAGGAUUAGGUAGUUGGUGGGGUAAGGGCCCACCAAGCCGACGAUCCUUAGCUGGCCUGAGAGGAUGAUCAGACACACUGGGACUGAGACGCGGCCCAGACUCCUACGGGAGGCAGCAGUGGGGAAUAUUGGACAAUGGGCGAAAGCCUGAUCCAGCAAUGCCGCGUGAGUGAUGAAGGCCUUAGGGUUGUAAAGCUCUUUUACCAGGGAUGAUAAUGACAGUACCUGGAGAAUAAGCUCCGGCUAACUCCGUGCCAGCCGCCGCGGUAA